rnacentral:rRNA from 1 species
GUCGACGGCAGCACGGGAGCAAUCCUGGUGGCGAGUGGCGAACGGGUGAGUAAUAUAUCGGAACGUGCCCAGUCGUGGGGGAUAACGUAGCGAAAGCUACGCUAAUACCGCAUACGAUCUACGGAUGAAAGCGGGGGACUCGCAAGAGCCUCGCGCGAUUGGAGCGGCCGAUAUCAGAUUAGGUAGUUGGUGGGGUAAAGGCUCACCAAGCCAACGAUCUGUAGCUGGUCUGAGAGGACGACCAGCCACACUGGAACUGAGACACGGUCCAGACUCCUACGGGAGGCAGCAGUGGGGAAUUUUGGACAAUGGACGCAAGUCUGAUCCAGCCAUUCCGCGUGCAGGAUGAAGGCCCUCGGGUUGUAAACUGCUUUUGUACGGAACGGAAAGGUUUCUAUUAAUACUAGGAGCUCAUGACGGUACCGUAAGAAUAAGCACCGGCUAACUACGUGCCAGCAGCCGCGGUAAUACGUAGGGUGCAAGCGUUAAUCGGAAUUACUGGGCGUAAAGCGUGCGCAGGCGGUUAUGUAAGACAGAGGUGAAAUCCCCGGGCUCAACCUGGGAACUGCCUUUGUGACUGCAUAGCUAGAGUACGGUAGAGGGGGAUGGAAUUCCGCGUGUAGCAGUGAAAUGCGUAGAUAUGCGGAGGAACACCGAUGGCGAAGGCAAUCCCCUGGACCUGUACUGACGCUCAUGCACGAAAGCGUGGGGAGCAAACAGGAUUAGAUACCCUGGUAGUCCUCGCCCUAA